UACAGAGGUCCCAAGCGUUGUUCGGAUUCACUGGACGUAAAGGGUGCGUAAAUGGUCGAAUAAGUCUGAAAUGAAAUCUCCGAGCUCAACUCGGAAACUGCCUCGGAUACUAUCCGGCUGGAGGGUUGGAGGGGGGACUGGAAUUCUCGGUGUAGCAGUGAAAUGCGUAGAUAUCGAGAGGAACACCAGUGGCGAAGGCGAGUCCCUGGACAACUCCUGACACUGAGGCACGAAAGCUAGGGAAGCAAAC
rnacentral:rRNA from 1 species